GACAGCAGCAGCCGCGGUAAUACGAAGGGGGCUAGCGUUGCUCGGAAUGACUGGGCGUAAAGGGCGCGUAGGCGGUUUAUACAGUCAGAUGUGAAAUUCCUGGGCUCAACCUGGGGACUGCAUUUGAUACGUAUGGACUUGAGUGGAGAAGAGGGUCGUGGAAUUUCCAGUGUAGAGGUGAAAUUCGUAGAUAUUGGAAAGAACACCGGUGGCGAAGGCGGCGACCUGGUCUUUAACUGACGCUGAGGCGCGAAAGCGUGGGGAGCAAACAGGAUUAGAUACCCCAGUAGUCCCUGUCUCUUAUAC
rnacentral:rRNA from 1 species